rnacentral:other from 1 species
ACGGUUAUAAAUCAACAUAUUGAUUUAUAAGCAUGAAAAUCCCCUGAGUGAAACAACGAAUUGCUGUGUGUAGUCUUUGCCCAUCUCCCACGAUGGGCUUUUUUUUAA